GACGAACGCUGGCGGCGUGCUUAAUACAUGCAAGUCGAACGGAAAGGCCCUGCUUUUGUUGGGUGCUCGAUUGGCGAACGGGUGAGUAACACGCGUGUAACCUGCCCUUGACUUUGGGAUAACUUCAGGAAACUGGGGCUAAUACCGGAUAUGAGCUUCUGCUCCACGGGGGGGGUUGGAAAGUUUCGGCGGUUCGGGCUCGACUCGAGGGUUAUCAGCUGGAUGGUGGGGUAGUUGCUGUCCAAGGCUGUGACGGGUAGCCGGCAUGAGAGGGUGAACGGCGACAUUGGGACUAAGGUAGGGACCAGAAGCGUACGGGCGGCAGCAGUGGGGAAUAUUGCACAAUGGGCGGAAGCCUGAUGCAGCAACGCUGCGUGCGGGAUGACGGCCUUCGGGUUGUAAACCGCUUUCGCCGGUGACGAAGCGUGAGUGACGGUAAUGGGUAAAGAAGCACCGGCUAACUACGUG
rnacentral:rRNA from 1 species